UACGGAGGGAGCUAGCGUUGUUCGGAAUUACUGGGCGUAAAGCGCGCGUAGGCGGCUUUGUAAGUUAGAGGUGAAAGCCCGGAGCUCAACUCCGGAACUGCCUUUAAAACUGCAUCGCUUGAAUCCGGGAGAGGUGAGUGGAAUUCCGAGUGUAGAGGUGAAAUUCGUAGAUAUUCGGAAGAACACCAGUGGCGAAGGCGGCUCACUGGACCGGUAUUGACGCUGAGGUGCGAAAGCGUGGGGAGCAAAACAGG
rnacentral:rRNA from 1 species